rnacentral:misc_RNA from 1 species
UCUCCGUUGGUGAACCAGCGGAGGGAUCAUUACAGAAGCAUUCUUUUGCUCUUAAACACCUGUGAACAUACUUUUGUUGCUUCGGCGGGCCUGCCCCUCGGGGGGCGGUCAAGGUCCGCCGGAGGUUUUUUCAAAACUCUUGUUUUUACUAGUCUUCAGAAUAUCAAAAAAAUAAAUCAAAACUUUCAACAACGGAUCUCUUGGCUCUAGCAUCGAUGAAGAACGCAGC